CAGAGGUCCCGAGCGUUGUUCGGAUUCACUGGGCGUAAAGGGUGCGUAGGUGGCAUGGUAAGUUUGAUGUGAAAGCUCAGGGCUUAACCCUGAAAUGGCAUUGAAUACUAUCGUGCUGGAGGUUUGGAGGGGGGACUGGAAUUCUUGGUGUAGCAGUGAAAUGCGUAGAUAUCAAGAGGAACACCAGUGGCGAAGGCGAGUCCCUGGACAACACCUGACACUGAGGCACGAAAGCCGGGGGAGCAAACAGGAUUAGAUACCCUGGUAGUCCCGGCCCUAAACGGUGUGCGCUUGCUGUAAGAGGAAUCGACCCCUCUUGUGGCGAAGCUAACGCGAUAAGCGCACCGCCUGGGGAGUACGGUCGCAAGAUUA
rnacentral:rRNA from 1 species